rnacentral:rRNA from 1 species
CGGAAGGGGCUAGCGUUGUUCGGAAUUACUGGGGCGUAAAAGCGCGCGCAGGCGGUUGGACAAGUGAGGCGUGAAAGCCCUGGGCUCAACCUGGGGAAUUGCGCUUCAGACUGUUUGACUGGAGUUCGGGAGAGGGUGGUGGAAUUCCCAGUGUAGAGGUGAAAUUCGUAGAUAUUGGGGAGGAACACCGGUGGCGAAGGCGGCCGCCUGGCCCGUAACUGACGCUAUAGCGCGAAAGCGUGGGGGAGCAAACAGGAUU